GAGAUAGAUUAUCAUGGAAUUAUGCAGUUAGCAUUUAAAGAUCCAAUCCCAGAUUCUUACUCUUGAUAUGAAUGUAGUAGGCCAAAAACUAGUACCACUGUCAAUGAUGGUUAUAUAAUGUUCGUUAAUUUAGGAACUGUCAGGGUUUUGAAUCCUACUACGUAUAUAUUUAUAUUAUUGCACUCUUCGAAAAUAUGCUUUGCACUAAUG
rnacentral:misc_RNA from 1 species